rnacentral:rRNA from 1 species
CGCCUGUUUAUCAAAAACAUCUUUUCUUGUUAGUUUUUGAAGUAUGGCCUGCCCGCUGACUUUAGUGUUGAAGGGCCGCGGUAUUUUGACCGUGCAAAGGUAGCAUAGUCAUUAGUUCUUUAAUUGUGAUCUGGUAUGAAUGGCUUGACGAGGCAUGGGCUGUCUUAAUUUUGAAUUGUUUAUUGAAUUUGGUCUUUGAGUUAAAAUUCUUAGAUGUUUUUAUGGGACGAGAAGACCCUAUAGAGUUUGACAUUUAUUAUGGUCUCUUUUCUGUUUGUGAGGGUUCACUGGGCCGUUUAAUGUGUUUUGUUGGGGUGAUGGGAGGGAUAUAAUUUAACCCCUCCUUUGUGUUGUUAUAUUUAUUUAUAUUUGUUUGAUCCAUUUAUUUUGAUUGUAAGAUUAAAUUACCUUAGGGAUAACAGCGUAA